rnacentral:rRNA from 1 species
CCUACGGGGGGCAGCAGUGAGGAAUAUUGGUCAAUGGGCUUACGCCUGAACCAGCCAAGUCGCGUGAGGGAAGACUGCCCUAUGGGUUGUAAACCUCUUUUGUCAGGGAGCAAUUGGCGCUACGUGUAGCGUUAUCGAUAGUACCUGAAGAAAAAGCAUCGGCUAACUCCGUGCCAGCAGCCGCGGUAAUACGGAGGAUGCGAGCGUUAUCCGGAUUUAUUGGGUUUAAAGGGUGCGUAGGCGGAAUGCCAAGUCAGCGGGAAAAUCGCGGGGCUCAACCUCGCUCCGCCGUUGAAACUGGCGUUCUUGAGUGGGCGAGAGGUAGGCGGAAUGCGUGGUGUAGCGGUGAAAUGCAUAGAUAUCACGCAGAACUCCGAUUGCGAAGGCAGCAUACCGGCGCCCAACUGACGCUGAAGCACGAAAGCGUGGGUAUCGAACAGGAUUAGAUACCCUUGUAGUC